AUGGAGAGUUUGAUCCUGGCUCAGGAUGAACGCUAGCGGCAGGCCUAAUACAUGCAAGUCGAACGGUAGGUUUUUCUUCGGAGAAACUGAGAGUGGCGCACGGGUGCGUAACGCGUAUACAAUUUGCCUUAUACUGGAGGAUAGCCCGGAGAAAUUCGGAUUAAUACUCCAUAAUAUCAUGAAUUCGCAUGUUUUUAUGAUUAAAGCUUCGGUGGUAUAAGAUGAGUAUGCGUCCUAUUAGUUAGUUGGUAAGGUAACGGCUUACCAAGACAGCGAUAGGUAGGGGGCCUGAGAGGGUUAUCCCCCACACUGGUACUGAGACACGGACCAGACUCCUACGGGAGGCAGCAG
rnacentral:rRNA from 1 species